ACCAGUCUCAGAGGUUUCUGGGGCAGGGGUGGGGGGGACUGAAAAUUCUCCAACUCCAAAAUUUGUGAUUAGUGACCUCUUAUUUUUAAAAACUUAAAUGCAGAGAAAAAUAAUCUGGCUAGAAGUAUAGAAGAUCCUCUUCUUUGUGCCUCACUACUUAAUUUAUUUGAAGAAUUGUUAUGAAAUCUUAAGUUCCUGCAUAUCCUUGUGAAGUCAAAACUUGCAUAGAAGAAAGGAAGGAAGAGGAAGGAAAGAGAAAGAAAGAAAGGAAGAAAGGUGGCACAUUCCUAACACUUAAAAAAGGGAAACAAAAACAAUUCAUUCCUUUGAAGCAGGUAUCAAGAUUUUUCUAGAAAUAUACCACGGACUAGAAUUGCCGGAUUGAAGGAAUUUGCUGUGGAAAAGGAGAGCCGCAAAGCUUCUGAUCUCUAAUUUCAAGGCAAGUGGGUUCUUCAGGGUUGGAUUGUUUCUAUUCAAAGUGAAGUCAGAGUAGGAAUGGAUCUUUCCUAUUAUUUAAUAUG